rnacentral:rRNA from 1 species
AACCUCCGCAAUGUGAGAAAUCGCGACGGGGGGAUCCCAAGUGCCAUUCUUAACGGGAUGGCUUUUCAUUAGUGUAAAAAGCUUUUGGAAUAAGAGCUGGGCAAGACCGGUGCCAGCCGCCGCGGUAACACCGGCAGCUCUAGUGGUAGCUGUUUUUAUUGGGCCUAAAGCGUUCGUAGCCGGUUUGAUAAGUCACUGGUGAAAUCCUGUAGCUUAACUGUGGGAAUUGCUGGUGAUACUGUUGAACUUGAGGUCGGGAGAGGUUAGCGGUACUCCCAGGGUAGAGGUGAAAUUCUGUAAUCCUGGGAGGACCACCUGUGGCGAAGGCGGCUAACUGGAACGAACCUGACGGUGAGGGACGAAAGUUAGGGGCGCGAACCGGAUUAGAUACCCGGAUAGUCCUAACUGUAAACGAUGCGGACUUGGUGUUGGGGUGGCUUUGAGCUGCUCCAGUGCCGAAGGGAAGCUGUUAAGUCCGCCGCCUGGGAAGUACGGUCGCAAGACUGAAACUUAAAGGAAUU